UCCGUAGGUGAACCUGCGGAAGGAUCAUUACCAAUCCAUUGAGUGCCCUAGUACUUGGUAGCAAUACCUUGUCUAUGUGCAUUUCAAUACAAUCAACCUUUGUGAACUGUUUAAACUCGCACUUGGCCAGUGGCUGGCUUGUUGCUGUGUUGGCUGUUAUCGCCGCUCCGGUGGUGUUGAUAGCUGAUUGUAUGCACUCGCCAUCAGGCUGCUGGUCAAUCAUAUGCGUCACGUCUAUCUCAUACUAAACUGAACUACUUCAUAUUAAACAAAUAUGAAAACAACUUUUAGCAACGGAUCUCUAGGCUCUCGCAACGAUGAGGAACGCAGCGAAAUGCGAUACGUAAUGUGAUCUGCAGAACUCGUGAAUCAUCGAAUCUUUGAACGCACUUUGCACUAUCUGGAACUCCGGAUAGUAUGUCUGUUUGAGCAUCAGUUCCCCUCUCAAUCCACCAUAUGCUGGUCUCAGACCGCGCCGUGGCUGGAUUGGACUUGGGCCUACCAGUACAUUUUAUGUGUUGGUGGCCUGAAAUCCAGGCAAGGUUUUCCCGAGGACAACCAAGACAGAGUUAGUGGCUAGUCAGCAAUGGCUCCAUGUCUGUCGCCGGCUUGCACCCUCUCGAAUUUAAUACCUAGCUCACACUGAUCUCUCACGAUCAACACCCGAAUGCCCCACCAUAGGCAUUUGAUCAAUGAUCUCAAAUCAGACAAGAUUACCCGCUGAACUUAAGCAUAUUAAUAAGCGGAGGAAAAGAAACUAACAAGGAUUCCCCUAGUAAUGGCGAAUGAAGCGGGAACAGCUCAAAUUUGAAAUCUCCUCGGAGAAUUGUAGUUUAUAGAAGUGUUUUCGUUGGCUACCUGGGUACAAGUCCCCUGGAACGGGGCAUCAUAGAGGGUGAGAAUCCCGUCUUUGAUCCAGGUUCAGGCCGCACUACGAUACGCUUUCAAAGAGUCGGGUUGUUUGGGAAUGCAGCCCAAAGCGGGUGGUAUAUUCCAUCUAAAGCUAAACACAGGCGAGAGACCGAUAGCGCACAAGUACCGUGAGGGAAAGAUGAAAAGCACUUUGAAAAGAGAGUCAAAUAGUACGUGAAAUUGCUAAAAGGGAAACGCUUGAAGU
rnacentral:rRNA from 1 species